rnacentral:tRNA from 1 species
CGGGGCGUAGCGCAGCUUGGUAGCGCACCUGCCUUGGGCGCAGGGGGUCGUAGGUUCGAAUCCUGUCGCCCCGACCA